rnacentral:pre_miRNA from 1 species
AGGGGGAGCCCCGGAUCCUUGGCUAUGUCCCCCCGCACCCUGGGCUCCGGAGCCUGUGCCACUGGAAUCACGCUCCCCAGGCUGCAGCAGCCCCCU